rnacentral:rRNA from 1 species
UACAGAGGUCCCAAGCGUUGUUCGGAUUCACUGGGCGUAAAGGGUGCGUAGGCGGUCGGGUAAGUCUGAUGUGAAAUCUCACAGCUUAACUGUGAAACUGCAUUGGAUACUAUCCGGCUCGAGGAAUGGAGGGGAGACUGGAAUACUUGGUGUAGCAGUGAAAUGCGUAGAUAUUAGGAGGAACACCGGUGGCGAAGGCGGCGAUCUGGUCCAAUACUGACACUCAUACACGAAAGCGUGGGGAUCAAACAGG